UCACCUGUUCUAAAACGCUAUCUAACGUUAAUUCUAAAAUUUAGAAAUGCGCUUUGAAGCGUCACCAAAUUAUAUUCUGUGCAUGCUGGGCUAGGGAUGAUUGAGGUUUGAUAUAUUCAAAAUGGCUGAUCGUCGAAGAACGUACGAAGUGAUAAGCGAAGCGCAGAGGAAGAUUCUUUGUGACUUCUUCGAUAAAGGCAUGAAUUCAACAGCUAGUAACAUGCAGAGAACUAUAGUGGAGGCUUCUGAUAAAGCUAACGUAACUGUAGAACGAGUGAAGGUAUUUAUUUUUGUCUUUGAAGUUUAGAUGGCGUGUUAAUUUGCAUAUUGACGCAAGUUUUGAAAUAAACGCGUUAUGAAUAUUGUAUAUCUGUAAAUACGCACUAACUACACUUGCUAUUGUUAGCUACAUCUAUAGCUCUGUGGCAUGAGCAUUGUACAUUUGCACGGGCAUCGCAAUUCGCAAAAACGUAGGUUCGAUAACUUCGAUUCAUUCUGAAGACCAAUUCAUCAUUCAUUCUUGUUUAUGACUCCACUCGAAAUUAAAACCCUUAGAACCUUAAUUAUUUUUGAAAAACGUUACUGUAAUCGUUUGUAGAAAUGGAUUGGAAACGAAAGGCAGAAACGAAAAGCCUCAUCUGCUAUUGGGACAGAUGCACCUGGUGAGACCUCUGGCUUGGCAACAAGAAAGUGUCCUGUAAAGCGUGGGACCACAGCAUACAACCUUUUUUGCUCGAGCAUGCUUACCUCAGGUUAGGUUCAUAAUAAUCUCUCAUUUAAUAAGCCCCCUUUCAAAUAAGCCAAAUUGUACUAUGUUCUCUGAUCAAAUUUAUAAUGGAAUUAUGAAAACUUAUUGAACUUAUCAAUCCCAUCUAUUUCAGGGCCUUUUUGGCUUGUGCUGAGAGGGGAUUUAUAGAGGGGACCUUGUAUCAUAAAGCAUGAAUGAAGAAUAGAGCAUGUCUCAAUUGUGUUGAUGAAUGCAAACAGCUUACAAACUCUGAAAAAUUAAAACUCACUGUUAGUACAUGGAACUCACUCACCUCUGAGGAACGAAGUAAGUGGAUUGAAAAAGCAAAAGAGCUACAAAAGGUUGUUGUUAGUGAAUUAUCUGAAAAGGAGUGUAAUCAGAGAAUCAAAAAAGCGAGAAAACAACUUAUCUCCCAGGUAUACACCUAUACUAUUGUUUGUGAAGAUGACAAUGUGUUGAGACCUAGUCUUCCAAAGCUCCAAGCAUGAAUAUUUUAGAAUUGUUAAUUUGGUUUAUGAAAUUGAAUUGGCAUUGUUAUUGUCCAGUUAAUAACUGUUCUUGUCAUAGAAUAUGAACUUGAUGGAGGUUAGGUGUAAUCAU